GGGGUCAUGCGCAAGCUAGAGAUAGGUGGUUCCCUUCGGGGACGCAGAGACAGGUGGUGCAUGGCUGUCGUCAGCUCGUGUCGUGAGAUGUUGGGUUAAGUCCCGCAACGAGCGCAACCCUUGUCUUUAGUUGCCAUCAUUAAGUUGGGCACUCUAAAGAGACUGCCGGUGACAAACCGGAGGAAGGUGGGGAUGACGUCAAGUCAUCAUGCCCCUUAUGACCUGGGCUACACACGUGCUACAAUGGGCAGUACAACGAGAAGCGAACCCGCGAGGGUAAGCGGAUCUCUUAAAGCUGUUCUCAGUUCGGACUGCAGGCUGCAACUCGCCUGCACGAAGCUGGAAUCGCUAGUAAUCGCGGAUCAGCACGCCGCGGUGAAUACGUUCCCGGGUCUUGUACACACCG
rnacentral:rRNA from 1 species